UGUCACUCCUGGAAGCUUAGUCAAGAACUGGCAGAAAGAGUUUCAGAAGUGGUUAGGUCAUGAGAGACUGAAAGUGUAUGCAGCAUCAACUGACAACAGACCAGAAGAGUUUGUCAAGUCUCCAGUGUAUCCAGUGCUGUUAAUUAGUUAUGAAUUAUUCAUAAAGUGUUACGGGAGUUUGGCUAAAGUUAACUUUGAUAUGAUAGUCUGUGAUGAAGGACACAGACUCAAGAACACCAACAUAAAGACAUUCAGUUUAUUAUAAAAGUUACCAACUUCAAGGAGGAUAGUGCUUAGUGGCACUCCAGUACAAAAUGAUUUGAUGGAGUUUUAUGCUAUAACAGAGUUUUGUAAUCCUGGAUUAUUAGGAUCACAGUCAGCUUAUAGGAAGGUUUAUGAAGAGUCAAUUGUAGCAUCAAGACAAGUAGAGGCCACAGAGACAGAACAGGAGAUAGGACAAAGAAGAGCACAGGAAUUGAUGAGGCUUAUUAGUAUGUUUUAUUUAAGAAGAACACAAGAAAUAAAUAAGAAAUAUUUACCCCCGAAAGUCUCAGUUGUAUGAAGGUAUAAAGAGGUAUUAUCCUGAAGACUAUGACCCCACUGAAUGUAAGAUGGAAUAUUCUGGCAAACUCUGGGUCCUUGCAGCAAUGCUAGAGUACCUCCACUCAACCACUGGAGAGAAAGUACUCAGGUGUGUCUACGUAGCAGUCAAAAUGGCAGUUAGUUUCCUUAACCACGGAUCUUUGAUGGUCUUUUUAGUCCUUCUAGCAAUAGCAGAUGAUGAAAACAUCAAUAGAAAAGGUGAUGAAGACAUUAGCCUUUCAAUGAUUCAACAUUUAAGUACAGGAUACAUGAAAAACUUUAGAUAUUUUGGAGAGCAUGUGUAAGCUGUUCAGUUAUUCCUUCCUGAGGCUUGAUGGCCAGACACCGUCUAAUAAGAGACAGAGCAUAGUGGAAAGAUUUAAUAAUAAGCAACUGAAAGACUGUAAGUUGAAAUGUAACUUAAUUAAUAAUUAUAAGAAAAAAUUAUUAUUGGGCAAAGCCCUUGCUUACAGGAAUUUCUGUCUUGUAUGUACGUACAUUUGGGUGUGACUGGGAGGUGUGGUCAGGAGGUGGAGUCCCUCAAUGU